AGGAGACCUUGCUGCAGGAGAGGCAUUCUGCAGGCCAUGACCUGGCUGAGGUCCACAUUUGAAAGGUGAUUUGUGUUGGGACAGGACCUGCUCCUAUGGCAGCAUCUCCUUCCAGAGGCUGAUUCCUGCCGUGUUUGAAGCACAAUUGCUGAUAUUCAGGAUCAUCUUCCAGCCUCUCCCGACAGCAGGGAGCUGUUUUCAGGCAGCAGCAGGAUCCCACCCAUUCCUGGGAGCUUCACGGGACACCCCAGUGAUAAUACCUUGUUUUUUGGAAUUUAUGGGCACAUAACCACCCAGAGCAGCACCUGAGCUGGAGACUGUGGGAAAACAAAAACAAACCGGUGUAAAAUGGAGCCACCUUCUUUCCCAGCCUGCAUCCGUGGGAUGAGGCAGAAGAAGGAUCUAUUCCAUCCCUCUGGAUGAGCAGCCUGCUCCUCCUGCCAGCACAUAUUGGCUGUUAAAUGCUUACCCAGCACCGGGAGGGGGGUUAUUAGGAGCACUGAAUUCCUUUGAUAAGUUCCCAGGUCAUAAAGCUGUUUGACUCCUCA